AGCGAACGCUGGCGGCAGGCUUAACACAUGCAAGUCGAACGGGCACUUCGGUGUCAGUGGCAGACGGGUGAGUAACACGUGGGAACGUACCUUUUGGUUCGGAACAACACAGGGAAACUUGUGCUAAUACCGGAUAAGCCCUUACGGGGAAAGAUUUAUCGCCGAAAGAUCGGCCCGCGUCUGAUUAGCUAGUUGGUGAGGUAAUGGCUCACCAAGGCGACGAUCAGUAGCUGGUCUGAGAGGAUGAUCAGCCACAUUGGGACUGAGACACGGCCCAAACUCCUACGGGAGGCAGCAGUGGGGAAUAUUGGACAAUGGGCGCAAGCCUGAUCCAGCCAUGCCGCGUGAGUGAUGAAGGCCCUAGGGUUGUAAAGCUCUUUUGUGCGGGAAGAUAAUGACGGUACCGCAAGAAUAAGCCCCGGCUAACUUCGUGCAGCCGCCGCCGUAA
rnacentral:rRNA from 1 species